rnacentral:rRNA from 1 species
GUCGAACGAGCGAGAGAGAGCUUGCUUUCUCGAGCGAGUGGCGAACGGGUGAGUAACGCGUGAGGAACCUGCCUCAAAGAGGGGGACAACAGUUGGAAACGACUGCUAAUACCGCAUAAGCCCACAGGUCGGCAUCGACCAGGGGGAAAAGGAGCAAUCCGCUUUGAGAUGGCCUCGCGUCCGAUUAGCUAGUUGGUGAGGUAAUGGCCCACCAAGGCAACGAUCGGUAGCCGGACUGAGAGGUUGAACGGCCACAUUGGGACUGAGACACGGCCCAGACUCCUACGGGAGGCAGCAGUGGGGAAUAUUGCACAAUGGGGGAAACCCUGAUGCAGCGACGCCGCGUGGAGGAAGAAGGUCUUCGGAUUGUAAACUCCUGUUGUUGAGGAAGAUAAUGACGGUACUCAACAAGGAAGUGACGGCUAACUACGUGCCAGCAGCCGCGGUAAAACGUAGGUCACAAGCGUUGUCCGGAAUUACUGGGUGUAAAGGGAGCGCAGGCGGGAAGACAAGUUGGAAGUGAAAUCUAUGGGCUCAACCCAUAAACUGCUUUCAAAACUGUUUUUCUUGAGUAGUGCAGAGGUAGGCGGAAUUCCCGGUGUAGCGGUGGAAUGCGUAGAUAUCGGGAGGAACACCAGUGGCG